rnacentral:snRNA from 1 species
CCUAAAUAGGCGGGUGUAAGAU